GACGAACGCUGGCGGCGUGCUUAACACAUGCAAGUCGAACGGAAAGGCCCUGCUUUUGUGGGGUGCUCGAGUGGCGAACGGGUGAGUAACACGUGAGUAACCUGCCCUUGACUUUGGGAUAACUUCAGGAAACUGGGGCUAAUACCGGAUAGGAGCUCCUGCUGCAUGGUGGGGGUUGGAAAGUUUCGGCGGUUGGGGAUGGACUCGCGGCUUAUCAGCUUGUUGGUGGGGUAGUGGCUUACCAAGGCUUUGACGGGUAGCCGGCCUGAGAGGGUGACCGGCCACAUUGGACCGGAGAUACGGCCCAGACUCCUACGGGGGGAGGCGGUGGGGAUUAUUGAACAAGGGGCGAAGGCUGGAUGCGGCACCGCGGCGUGCGGGAUAACGCCUUCGGGUUGUAAACCGCUUUCGCCUGUGACGAAGCGUGAGUGACGGUAAUGGGUAAAGAAGCACCGGCUAACUACGUG
rnacentral:rRNA from 1 species